rnacentral:rRNA from 1 species
UACGUAGGUGGCAAGCGUUACUCGGAAUCACUAGGCGUAAAGCGCAGGUAGGCGGUUUGAUAAGUCUGUUGUGAAAGCUCCCGGCUUAACUGGGAGAGGUCAACGGAAACUGUCAAGCUAGAGUGUGGUAGAGGUAGCUGGAAUUCCCGGUGUAGCGGUGAAAUGCGUAGAUAUCGGGAGGAAUACCUAUGGCGAAAGCAGGCUACUGGACCAUCACUGACGCUGAUCUGCGAAAGCUAGGGGAGCAAACAGG